rnacentral:tRNA from 1 species
GGAUUGUGGCUCAGUGGUAGAGCGCUUGCCUUGCAUGUGUGAGGCACUGGGUUUGAUCCUCAGCACCA